GUAUUUAGGCUCCUCCCUCUCGUACGCCACUGGUUAGGUAAGAAACAAACUCAGGUUUGGGGGAGAGUGUCAAGAAUCGGGUCAGAUUUAGCCGGCAUGUUCUAGCCGCCCUCAAGGCACGAGAUUCCAUUCCGAUUUCCGAGGCCCAGAAGCUCGAAGCAUCCCAGCUAUGAAGAUGAAGAGACACUCCUAGUUACCAAGUGGCCCGUCCCACUAGUCCAAUUACA